rnacentral:rRNA from 1 species
GACGAACGCUGGCGGCGUGCUUAACACAUGCAAGUCGAACGGAAAGGCCCUGCUUUUGUGGGGUGCUCGAGUGGCGAACGGGUGAGUAACACGUGAGUAACCUGCCCUUGACUUUGGGAUAACUUCAGGAAACUGGGGCUAAUACCGGAUAGGAGCUCCUGCUGCAUGGUGGGGGUUGGAAAGUUUCGGCGGUUGGGGAUGGACUCGCGGCUUAUCAGCUUGUUGGUGGGGUAGUGGCUUACCAAGGCUUUGACGGGUAGCCGGCCUGAGAGGGUGACCGGCCACAUUGGGACUGAGAUACGGCCCAGACUCCUACGGGAGGCAGCAGUGGGGAAUAUUGCACAAUGGGCGGAAGCCGGAUGCAGCAACGCCGGGUGCGGGAUGACGGCCUUCGGGUUGUAAACCGCUUUCGCCUGUGACGAAGCGUGAGGGACGGUAAUGGGUAAAGAAGCACCGGCUAACUACGU